rnacentral:lncRNA from 1 species
ACAUUAAUAAUGAUCUUCUCUCCUGGUGUGCUGUACCAACUGGCUGGUACAUUAUAGUUUUGGAAAAUAUUGUGAACCAAGUUAUAUCUAUGUCUCAUAUCAUUUUUUGUGUUUAUGUAGGAUGUUUGUUCUGAGAAAACUAAAAAUACUUUGUUUAAAUUGGAUCACAUUUUACCAGUUAAGUGAACCUUACCAGCAGAUGACAAUAUUGAUAUGUGGGAUGACACAAGGAAGAUACAACAACCUAAGAAUGGAUAGCUUGUGCUAGAAAAUCAAUUACAAAAUCUUAUAUGGCUUUUCCUCC